AUUGAACGCUGGCGGCAGGCCUAACACAUGCAAGUCGAACGAGUGGCGCACGGGUGAAUAAUGUCUGGGAAACUGCCCGAUGGAGGGGGAUAACUACUGGAAACGGUAGAUAAUACCGCAUCACCUCGGGUGUGCCCAGAUGGGAUUAGCUAGUAGGUGGGGUAACGGCUCACCUAGGCGACGAUCCCUAGCUGGUCUGAGAGGAUGACCAGCCACACUGGGACUGAGACACGGCCCAGACUCCUACGGGAGGCAGCAGUGGGGAAUAUUGCACAAUGGGCGCAAGCCUGAUGCAGCCAUGCCGCGUGUAUGAAGAAGGCCUUAGGGUUGUAAAGUACUUUCAGCGAGGAGGCGUUACUGGCAGAAGAAGCACCGGCUAACUCCGUGCCAGCAGCCGCGGUAAUUC
rnacentral:rRNA from 1 species